GAUGAACGCUGGCGGCGUGCCUAAUACAUGCAAGUCGAGCGAACAGACGAGGAGCUUGCUCCUCUGACGUUAGCGGCGGACGGGUGAGUAACACGUGGAUAACCUACCUAUAAGACUGGGAUAACUUCGGGAAACCGGAGCUAAUACCGGAUAAUAUAUUGAACCGCAUGGUUCAAUAGUGAAAGACGGUUUUGCUGUCACUUAUAGAUGGAUCCGCGCCGCAUUAGCUAGUUGGUAAGGUAACGGCUUACCAAGGCAACGAUGCGUAGCCGACCUGAGAGGGUGAUCGGCCACACGGGAACGGAGACACGGUCCACUCCUACGGGAGGCAGCAGUAGGGAAUCUUCCGCAAUGGGCGAAAGCCUGACGGAGCAACGCCGCGUGAGUGAUGAAGGUCUUCGGAUCGUAAAACUCUGUUAUGAGGGAAGAACAAAUGUGUAAGUAACUAUGCACGUCUUGACGGUACCUAAUCAGAAAGCAACGGCUAACUACGUG
rnacentral:rRNA from 1 species